GAUGAACGCUAGCGGCAGGCCUAAUACAUGCAAGGCGAGGGGCAGCAGGAAUAGCAAUAUUUGCUGGCGACCGGCGCACGGGUGCGUAACACGUAUACAAUCUGCCUUCUACAGGGGGAUAGCCUUUCGAAAGAGAGAUUAAUACCCCAUAACACAAGAAAUAGCAUUAUUUUUUGUUGAAAGAUACGUCGGUAGAAGAUGAGUAUGCGGGUGAUUAGCUAGUUGGUGAGGUAACGGCUCACCAAGGCAACGAUCACUAGGGGAUCUGAGAGGACUACCCCCCACACUGGUACCGCGACACGGACCAGACUCCUACGGGAGGCAGCAGUAAGGAAUAUUGGACAAUGGAGGCAACGCUGAUCCAGCCAUGCCGCGUGCAGGAUGAAGGCCCUAUGGGUCGUAAACUGCUUUUGUACGAGAGAAAACCUAUUUACGUGUAGAUAGUUGAUAGUAUCGUAAGAAUAAGGAUCGGCUAACUUCGUGCCAGCCGCCGCGGUAA
rnacentral:rRNA from 1 species